rnacentral:sRNA from 12 species
CCCUGACAGCUACAUAGUGUAGCUGACACUAGCCAAGACAGGAGAUAGACAUG